rnacentral:rRNA from 1 species
UACAGAAGAGCCAAGCGUUGUCCGGAUUGACUGGGCGUAAAGCGCACGCAGGCGGACGCGCGCGUGGGGUGUGAAAUCUGGCCGCUUAACGGCCAGGCGCCAUCCCAUACGGCGUGUCUGGAGUGAUGCAGAGGUCGAUGGAAUUGCCGGUGUAGUGGUGAAAUGCGUAGAGAUCGGCAGGAACACCCAGGGGGAAACCAGUCGACUGGGCAUCUACUGACGCUGAGGUGCGAGAGCGUGGGGAGCGAACCGG